rnacentral:rRNA from 1 species
GUAACACGUAAAGAACCUGCCCUCAGGUCUGGGAUAACCACGAGAAAUCGGGGCUAAUACCGGAUGGGUCAUCGGACCGCAUGGUCCGAGGAUGAAAGGCGCUUCAGCGUCGCCUGGGGAUGGCUUUGCGGUGCAUUAGCUAGUUGGUGGGGUAAUGGCCCACCAAGGCGACGAUGCAUAGCCGACCUGAGAGGGUGAUCGGCCACACUGGGACUGAGACACGGCCCAGACUCCUACGGGAGGCAGCAGUAGGGAAUCUUCCACAAUGGACGAAAGUCUGAUGGAGCAACGCCGCGUGAACGAUGAAGGCCUUCGGGUCGUAAAGUUCUGUUGUAAGGGAAGAACAAGUGCCGCAGGCAAUGGCGGCACCUUGACGGUACCUUGCGAGAAAGCCACGGCUAACUACGUGCCAGCAGCCGCGGUAAUACGUAGGUGGCAAGCGUUGUCCGGAAUUAUUGGGCGUAAAGCGCGCGCAGGCGGCCUCUUAAGUCUGAUGUGAAAGCCCCCGGCUCAACCGGGGAGGGCCAUUGGAAACUGGGAGGCUUGAGUAUAGGAGAGAAGAGUGGAAUUCCACGUGUAGCGGUGAAAUGCGUAGAGAUGUGGAGGAACACCAGUGGCGAAGGCGACUCUUUGGCCUAUAACUGACGCUGAGGCG